rnacentral:rRNA from 1 species
UGAGGAAUAUUGGUCAAUGGGCGCAAGCCUGAACCAGCCAUCCCGCGUGCAGGAAGACGGCGCUAUGCGUUGUAAACUGCUUUUCCAGGGAGAGAAACUUGCGCACGUGUUGCGCAAUUGACGGUACCCUCGGAAUAAGCAUCGGCUAACUCCGUGCCAGCAGCCGCGGUAAUACGGAGGAUGCGAGCGUUAUCCGGAUUCCUUGGGUUUAAAGGGUGCGUAGGCGGACUAUUAAGUCAGUGGUGAAAUCCUGCAGCUUAACUGCAGAACUGCCAUUGAUACUGAUAGCCUUGAGUUUGGUUAAGGUAGGCGGAAUGAGUAAUGUAGCGGUGAAAUGCUUAGAUAUUACACAGAUCACCAAUUGCGUAGGCAGCUUACCGAGCCGACACUGACGCUGAGGCACGAAAGCGUGGGGAUCGAACAG